GUCCAAUUCCGGGGUCAAAAUAAGGUGGGGGCAGAGGCAAACGAGCACAGCAGAAUAAUUCGUGUAUUUUUACCUGUUUCUAUAUCUAUAGGUGUACAUAUAGAGAAACAUAUCAUCGAUAAUAAAUUUGCUCGAAGAUCAAGUUCCAUGUUUUACAAGUCCAUGUUUUACAAGUCCAUGUUUUACAAGUCCAUGUUUUACAAGUCCAUGUUUUACAAGUCCAUGUUUUACAAGUCCAUUUUAUACAAGUCCAUGUUUUAUACAAGUCCAUGUUUUACAAGUCCAUGUUUUACAAGUCCAUGUUUUACAAGUUCAUGUUUUAUACAAGUCCAUGUUUUACAAGUCCAUGUUUUACAAGUCCAGUCCAUAGUUUACGAGUCCAGUCCAUAAUUUACAAGUCCAGUCCAGUCCAAGGUCCAGUCCAUGUUUUACAACAUGCCUCCAGGGUACAACAUGCCGAAUUCGCGUCACGAUUUAAGACGCAGAUAUUCAAAUUCAUUAGUCAUCGAUGCAGGCUCUCAAUUCAGCUUGAGAGCCUGUUCGCAGGCUAGCAGUGGACGGCCUAAUGAAUACGAACAGAAAAUUAAGAUCAGUUUAAUGCAUCUCUGUUAAUGCAUAGAAGUCCGCAGAUUAACAGGCGUUUCUAAAGCCUGGUUUCCAUAUGGUCGUAAAGAUUGAGUCACUCACGAUCUUUCUCAUCAGCCGAAAUACAACAUUUUAGAACAGAAAAUACGCGGAGUGAUUAUAACUAGAGAAUACUUAUGAUUUAUACGUGGUUUACAGGUAUAAACUAUUAUAAACUGGUCGUUGAGAAAGAUCGUGACUCUAGUUUUACGACCAUAUGCAUAUAUGGAAACCAGGCUUAAAGCGGCAAAGGUUAUGUCGUGCGGAACCUCGAUCGUAGAGUUUCAGGUUCGUAUAAUGAAACGUCUCGUUGGGAAAAUAAAAGUUAUUUUUAUCCCAGUUGUGAUGUUGUGCAUAGUGAACGAAAACCAAAGGACUGCACGCUGCUUAUAGUCGAAAUAUCUCCAAAAACGAAAACGAUACGGAAAAGAUGUAAAGGCAUUGAGUCUCAUGGUAAUGCUUUGCGCGCUUGGUGGCAGCUUGUUCGGCCGUUUUAGGGUGCCCGGAAAAUGGCGACGUUCGUAUGUUAGGGGUUGUGUGUAUGUGAAUUCACUUACUAUUGCUACUUAAAUGGCAAGUGGAAUGGGUUGUUUAAAAGAAAGAUAAGUACUAUUUAAAGCACGCGUAGGAGUGUUUUAUCACAUAUAAAACGCGAGGCGCAGCCGACUAGCCGAGCGUUUUAUAUCUGAUAAAAC